AGAAUUAUUCCUUUUAGUAUUUGAUUUUAUUUUGUUUGGAUUUGAUAUCAGUGUAAACCCUACCAAAAAUAUUUUCGUUUUUGUUAAAAGUGUAGUAGUAUAAAUGUGGCCUAAAUUAAAAAUACAUUUAAGGAAAUGUAGGAAGCUCUAUGUCCAUGGAUAAUGAACUAAAGGCUCCAUUGCUGCUGAAGUUCAGGCUUAAGGCUCUGGACUUAUGAGUAAUUGAUGCACAGCACAAGAUGUGGGAUAAAUUGAGAGAAGGACAGCUCAAGUAAAUUAUUAUUUUAUAGUGAUCUAAUUGAUAAUGAUGGUGUGUGCAUACGAGUGUUAGGUGAUAUUAUAUUAUUACCAACUGAUGUACAAGAAUCAGUAGCAAGAGCUGUGACAAUGACUAAGAACAAUAACAAGGUAUAUCUUAAUGUGUGUUUCUCUUAUGCAUCAAGAUAUGAGAUUACUGAUACUAUACAGUGACUGGUUGAUGGAUCUCAUGAUGGUACUAUACUACCAACGUAAGUAUAUGUAC